UUGACCUCAGAUCAGGUAGGGCUACCGCCUGAACUUAAGCAUAUCAAUAAGGCGAGGAACAGAAACCAACAGGGAUUCCCCCAGUAGUGGCGAAUGAAGCGGGAAAAGCUCAAGUUUGAAAUCCGGGGUUUACCUCGGAGUUGUAAGCUGAAGAGGCGUCGACCGACGCGGUCCGGGCCCAAUUUCCUUGGAACAGGAGGUCACGGAGGGUGAGAACCCCGUCUGUGGCUCGGGUGCCGUCGUCCUUGUGUCGUGCCCUCGAAGAGUCGGGUUGUUUGGGAAUGCAGCUCAAAAUGGGUGGUAAAUUUCAUCUAAGGCUAAAUAUUGGCGAGAGACCGAUAGCAAACAAGUAGAGUGAUCGAAAGAUGAAAAGUACUUUGAAAAGAGAGUGAAACAGUACGUGAAAUUGUUGAAAGGGAAGCGUUUGGCAUCAGCCCAUGGCGCCCCUCGAUCACCCGGGCUUCUGCCCGGUGCACUUGAGGGGCGUUGGGCCAGCGUCGACUUUGCCCGCCGGAGAAAGGCUUUGGGAACGUGCCUCCUCUCGGAGGGUUAUAUCCCUUGGCGUCAUGCGGCGUGGCGGGGUCGAGGUCUGCGGUUAUCCUAGACGCUGCGUA
rnacentral:rRNA from 1 species